GAUGAACGCUAGCGGCAGGCUUAAUACAUGCAAGUCGAGGGGCAGCGCAGUGUAGCAAUACAUGGGCGGCGACCGGCAAACGGGUGCGGAACACGUACAGAACCUUCCUUCGAGCGGGGAAUAGCCCAGAGAAAUUUGGAUUAAUACCCCAUAGUAUUGCAGAGUGGCAUCACUUUGCAAUUAAAGAUUUAUCACUUGAAGAUGGCUGUGCGGCUGAUUAGGUAGUUGGCGGGGUAACGGCCCACCAAGCCUGCGAUCAGUAACUGGUGUGAGAGCACGACCAGUCACACGGGCACUGAGACACGGGCCCGACUCCUACGGGAGGCUG
rnacentral:rRNA from 1 species